GGUGAAUGUGUAUUGAGUUCAGCAUGUUUCUGGUUUACACACAGCUUUCAGGGGGAAAUUAAAUAGUUUUACAAAGCCGAAAGGUUGUCCGACUUACGAUGUAUGAAUUUUAUGUCAUAAGAAAUUGGAUGCGAGCGUCCACCAGGAAUAUUUCGAUCGAAAUACAGAUUUCUCUUGAAUCCGAGAUGUUAUUCAUCAGCUGAUUAUAGAGGAGGAGUUUUGUCAUUGAUGGGAACCAACGUCAUAUUUAUGAUAUUGUGGCUGCAUCACUUUUGUUUGGCAGAGGUACAAGAGAACCAGUAACACAGAUAAAAGAUGCAGUUCCUAAGAGAUCCAAAGUCAGCAGCGCCUAAGACUAUACUGAUCAUGACUUUGAAUUAUCAGCAUCCAAAACAAUGCAAAUCAA